rnacentral:rRNA from 1 species
AUUGAACGCUGGCGGCAGGCUUAACACAUGCAAGUCGGACGAGUGGCGAACGGGUGAGUAACGCAUCGGAACGUGCCGAGUAAUGGGGGAUAACUGUCCGAAAGGACAGCUAAUACCGCAUAUUAUUCGAGCGGCCGACGUCUGCUUAGCUGGUUGGCGGGGUAAAGGCCCACCAAGGCGACGAUCAGUAGCGGGUCUGAGAGGAUGAGCCGCCACACUGGAACUGAGACACGGCCCAGACUCCUACGGGAGGCAGCAGUGGGGAAGUUUGGACAAUGGGCGCAAGCCUGAUCCAGCCAUGCCGCGUGUCUGAAGAAGGCCUUCGGGUUGUAAAGGACUUUUGUCAGGGAGGCGGUACCUGCAGAAUAAGCACCGGCUAACUCCGUGCCAGCAGCCGCGGUAAUUC